UAAAAAACAAAACCAGAAAAUGGUGAUCUU
rnacentral:piRNA from 1 species